GGAAGGCUUUCCACAGGGGGCCCUAGGCAUCUGGGGAGGAGAGCAGCAGGCCCCUUGGGCUGCAGGUCUGGCUCUGUCACUCACCUCCCUCCCUGGUUAAGGAAGUGGCCUGGCCUGGUCUGCUGCUGGCUCAUGCACCCCAGUUGUUAUGAAAACACCUUUAGUCCAUAAGACAUGGAAAAUUGCAUCUGAGCACUCAAGACCUGCGGAUUCUGAACCAUCCUGUAGAACGCUGCUGACUUUCCUCCCCCAGCUCUGCCUCCAUUUGCACAUUCAUGUCAAUAUUCCUGAUCAAUAAAUGUGUCUGGUCUUCAUAUUCUCUUUUGAACCAGUGAUAACAUCUUCCUGGUUCCCUCACUGAUUCAGGAGUAUAAUAAACUUUUUGGGGUUUUUUUCCCCCUUCUUCUCCCCAAAGCCCCCCAGCACACAGUUGUAGAUUCUACUUGUAGUUCCUCUGGUUGUGGCAUGUGGGAUGCCGCCUCAGUGUGGCCUCACGAGCACUGCGAUGUCUGAGCCCAGGAUCCGAACCAGCGAAAACCUGGGCUGCCGAAAGGAGCGCGCGAACUUAACCACUCGGCCACAGGGCGGCCCCUAUAAUAAACUCUUUAACACGUGUUCAUUUCUAUGUAUGUGUGAUGGUCAUGAUUAAAAAGAGGUAACUCUUUUAAAAAGGAUGCUAGUGAGAGGCGCUCAGGCAGAGGGAUGGGUAUACAAAGGCCCGGGGGCCAGCUCUCGGCACCCGGCUUUGAGCAGCAGGUUGCCUGCCCCGGAUCCAGGUCGGAGCAGACCAUCCAGAGCUGCUGAAACGGGCUGAUCGUUCAGUCCCACUGAUGAAGGGGGCGGCAGCUGGGGUAAAAUGAAAUCAUGCCAGUGAUCAAUUGCCAGGCGUUGACGUGCAUGUAAGCUGGGGAUGGCACAACUCGGUGUCACCUUCUGAUUGGAGCAUCUGCCGGGGAGCUAAAGGCACUUCAGCAGUGGCCCCCAUCGCAUCUUCUUCCUUUUUUUUUUUUUUUUUUUUGAGGAAGAUCAGCCCUGAACUAACUGCUGCCAAUCCUCCUCUUUUUGUUAAGGAAGACUGGCCCUGAGCUAACAUCCGUGCCCAUCUUCCUCUACUUUAUAUGUGGGAUGCCUGCCACAGUGUGACUUGAUAAUCGGUGCCAUAUCUGCACCUGGGAUCCGAACCGGCAAACCCCUGGCCACCAAAGUGGAACGUGUGAACUUAACUGCUGUGCAGCUGGGCUAGCCCCCAUUGAAUCUUCUGAUACUGCAAUUGGACCGGUCACUCCUCACCAGUCAGGGAGCGGGCACUGGGCACGGGCCGCUUCGUGUGAUGAGCUCUCUCUGCACACAAAUGAAGGCAAAUCUCACCAGGAACGAAGGUGAGUGGGGACACGAGAAGCCUCAUGUCUGAAACCCGGAGAUGCCACAAAUGCUUAUCAGAAUUGCCAAUCCUAGGCAUGAGAGCCCUUAUGCCAAUUAGCCAAAAGGUUCCUGAAACACUCAAAAGAAGGCAGAAGAAACCGGACUUUCCGUCUAGGAGCGUCAUAUGAUGCGUGCAGCCUUUGCGGGAAGCCAGCGCGGGCUCCUCCAGCCUCACCCAGAGCGGCCUGCAGCUCCGGUUAGCCUCCAGCUGUGCGGGGAGGACCUUUCCUUUCUCUCCCUUCUCUCUCUUGUCCACUUCUCCUGACAACUCCAGCUGGAGUGCGAAUGGUUGUUCCCAAGGACAGCCCCUGCUUGGGGGCCCCUCAGCCCGGCACCGCUUUGUCCCCAGCUCCAGCCAGUGUGGCACAAUCGGUGUGUCCAGUUGUGCACAGCACUGGGCAUCUAUGCGGUGCCAGGCUCUCUGCCCGGCGCAGGGCAGGCGACAGUGACCCAGACCCACUCUGCCGUCACAGAGCUGACCACCAUGCCGAGGGGUCAGGGCUGGAUGGACUGUGGGCACAGAGGGCGCCCCGCUGGACAUUCCUGCAUCACCAGGGGAUGCUGUAUUGGCAGCUCAGGGGCCAGAGCUGGCGAAGGGGAAGGAGAGAGUCCAGACUGGAUUCUGAGCCCCCACAGAUGCUCCGGAGGGAUCCCCGGGAGGCAGGGGAUAGAGCCAAGGGGCUGGGGCAAUGGCUGGACCCAUUUCCCUGGGACUGAGUGGUCCCUGAGCCCCUCCCUGACCCUCUCAGGCCUCCUGUGGAGGUGGGGCUCCUCCAUCAGCAUCUCCCAAGGCCAGGAGCCAGCAGGAAACCCUCUGAUCUCUAAGCUCUGCUUCCUCGUUUGAUUUGCAUAACAAUCUGCCCAGACCAGCUUUGUACCUUUCGAGCUGGCAGGCAGCACUGCCCUCUGACAAAAAACCCAACCAGCCAGCAAACAAAGCCCUGACGAAAGGAGGGCCUGGUGGGGUGCCUGGGUGGUCUUGCCGGGGAGCUGGCUCUUGGGGACUGGCUGCCUCUGGAAUGAGCUUGGGUCAGUCCCAGGUGAGGGGCCCUCCUUGAAACGGCACCCUCCUGGCAUGAGGCCCAGCAUCCCAUCAGGAGGGGCCUGUCGGAGCCCUUGGAGAAUUUAUCCUACAUACCCACCCAAAGGGACGUAGGGCAGGGGCGGUCAUCACAGCACUGCUUGUCUUAGCAAAGGCUAGAAGUAACUGGGAUGUCCAACAGUGGGGGAUCACGGAUUCUGGACAUCCUGGGCGUUGUCCAGCAGAGCGCUACAAGCCCUUAAAACGAGCCAGGUCCCCUGGCGUGUGCUCAUAUGUCAGGGGCACCUCCUGUACCCCGACGUGGCACUUCGCCCACCCCCCAGAGGCAGCCACAAGCCCUCCGCAAGGAGCUCUGUGGCCCUCAGAGCCCCUCCCCGCAGCUGCUUUGCAUGGCUCUGUUCCUUGCCUGGCACCGGGGCUGGGGCAGAGGAGUGAGGCGGGAGACAAAGACUUCAGAGCCCGGGGCCCUGCCAGUCCCAGCCGUGCGGCCUGGAGCCACCCGCCUGGCUCUGGGUCUCGGGCUCCUCAUCGGGAAACUGAGGACAGUUUACGUACCUCACAGCAUCCCCUGGCACCUGGGACACAGGGUAGGUGUUCAGCGACGGUGGGUGGGAUGGAGGUGCUACCCGGUGGGAACCAGGGGGUGCAGACUGGAGGCGGGGCUGGUUCCUCCUUUCACUUCCUCCCUCCUCCUUUAAGCUCACAUCUCAUAGUCAUGCGUUUAACAAACCUUAAAAUAAAAAUACGCAUUAUCUUCUUUAUUCCUCUUGAGGCCUCCAUGAGGAGGACUUCCCCUGUCUCUAUUUUUCAGAUGAGGAAACAGUCAGUGAGAACAAGGGAUCUGGCUGAGGUCACCAGCUGGUGAUGAGGUCAAGGCCCAGUCAUCCACUUGCCUUUCUGCCUCCCCAACGCCAGGCCCUGGCUGGGCACUGGGCCACAGGGAUGAGCAGAGCCAGGCUGGCCCAUGGGGGGCUCACAGUGGGGGCAGAGGCCUGACCUCUGGGGUUGGGAGGUAUGUCAGGGACGGCUUCCAGAGGAGGAGCCUGGGGAUCUGGGGGUGAGGGAAGGUGGGUGGGAAGGGAUUCUCGUGGAGGAUAAAGCAUGUGCAAAGGCCCCGUGGUGUGGGAAAGGGGAAGUUAGGCCAAUGUGGCUAGAGCAAGGGUGCAAAUGGAGGAGGGCAGGAGUCAGGGUUCUGAUCAAGAGGUGGGCAUUGGAUAUGAGGGCAGUGGGUCAGAUGGAGCUCAGGAGCCCCCACAAUGCUGCAGGGAGGAGAACCCUGUCCCAGACACUUAUCAAGGCUGGGCCAGGCCCCCAGCUUCUGGGUCCAGUACCAGCUAGAAUAGGCAUCUGUCUCACAGGCUUAGAAUUCCAGGACAGGGACCUGUGGGAAGAGGGGCUUGCUUGACAAGCUCAACGGUUCUUUCAGCCAAGAGGGGCUGAGGACCUCGGGACCAGCUGCCCUCUUCAGCUCUUCCCAGGAUUCAGCUGCCCAGGUCGGGACCUGCAGAAACUCCAGGUCUUCACACUGUCUUCCUGAAAACCUUAUUUACACUAAAGUGUCAAUGACUCACACAGCUUAAAAUGAAGUGGUUCUGCACUCCGGCUGUUCAGAAGAAUGCCGCUAGAUGUGUGCAAAGAACUUCUGGUACAGAGGCGAAGACGCUUAAUGCAGCCUACCGGCGAGUGGUAACAUUUGGUGAAUGGCCUCUGCACACAGAGGCCCUUGGAGAGAAAGAGGCAAAGGGAGACAGAAAGGUCAAAAGGUCCAAAUCAUUUUCAAAAAUGGGAUUGUACCACACCUGCUAUAUUUUAAACUAAAAGUAUUUAGUUUUUCUUGAGUUCCACAGAAAGUCUUAGAUAAAUCUUUACUUUCCACAGAGAUAUUAGUUCAUAGCGAAUUUCUCUAACGUUAAGAAAAAAGAUUAUGAAACUCAUUAAAGAUUGGAGUCCUGGAGAAAAAGAAUCAAUGUUUCAUUUUGGGCAGGCUCCGUCAUUUCCUUGGAAUGAGAAAGGUGAUCAGUUCCCUUACACAACCUCUCCCUGCCUCCAGCUCCUGAUUUUUUUUUUUUUUUUUCCUGAGGAAGAUUGGCCCUGAGCUAACAUCUGUGCCAGUCUUCCUCUAUUUUUUUGGAUGUGGGAUGCCGCCACAGGAUGGCUUGAUGUGCGGGAUGUAGGUCUGUGCCCGGGAUCUGAAUCUGCAAAUUCUGGGCCACCAGAUCGGGCGCGUGAACUUAAUCACCAUACCACUGGGCCGGCCCCCCAGCUCCCGAUUUUGAUUCUGAUGUUUUCACUGUGUCAAGGUUUAUAAUACUUACAAUCUGUUCUACAACCAUAAUUCUCCCAGUAUUUCAUUUUAGUCUUGUAUUCAAACAGAUUCCAUUCCAUUUUUAAAGCACAUUUUGUCCCUGAGUUUUGCACUUGGAGUCAUCUCUUGGUUGUAGCAGGAAAAACUGUGAAAGAUUUUGAAAUGGACCAAAAAAGCCAAAAAGACUACUGGUGUCCUGUAUUAAGGAACCUGUGCCUUUCAUCACCUUUGCACAAAUCUAAGUUGUAGAAAAAUGACAGCAGUGCAAAUGAUUCUUAUGCAUGGAAUGCAAAUGAAUUGCAUCCAGUGGACCGCAAUUGAUCGUCGCCCUGUGGGUAUUGAUCGGCUUUGCAUGCAUAUGUAAGUUCAUCUCAUAUUCCUUAUCUGUCUAUACGUGUGUGUUGUUCCAAUUUCCCCUGGAACCACUUGGAACCUAUUUCUUGUUCUCUAAUUAUUUAAUCAGUUAAACCAAGUUUUUGACAUGUGUUCAUUUUCUAUUGUAUGAGAGUCAUGAUUUUACCUUAAAAAACAUUGCCCCUUUCAAUGGUUAGCUAGUUUCAUUGCUGAGUAAUUUUCUUUUUCAAAAAAGGCUGAGGGUGCUAUUCCCCUGCCUCUUUCCAUGUUGUCUGUAAAUCUGAACUCCCUCACCGGGUGUCAUGUUCUUGGUUUCCCCUUUUCCACCCAACUCAGUUUCCUUUCCUUCUGGUAUUGAAUGUUGCCGCGGAAAAAUUUGAGGCCAGACUGAUUUUUUUCUCCUCUUGGUGACUUGCUUUGUUCCCCCUGGGUGUCUGAAGAAGUGUCUUGUUUGUCCUUCAAAGUUCAGUAACUCAGCUGGAUUCAGCAUGUCCUGACGCUGAUCUCGGGAACCCCCCUGGGUCCUCUCACAAGUACAGCUGGCUGCUUCUUCCUCCCUUUUGGGGAGAGCUUCUCCAAAUAUUUUUUCUGCAUUAGCUGUUGGAUAAUCAACUUCAGAGACCCCGGUUCCUCUUACAGGAGGUCUAGGUUCCAGAAUGAUCAUCUUUUCUCUAAUUGUUUGAGUUACUUUGUCCUUUUUCUCUGAAUUCAUUGUGAUUAUUUCGAGUUUCUCUCUGUGCUCUUAAUCCGCUCUUCAGACGUGUGCAACUCAGUUCGCAGAAGUGCAGUGGUCCUGUCUGGGUCCUCAGCGUGCGUCUUCCCCUCUGCACGCUCUUUGCCCCUCCUGAUGUUAUUUUAAUCAUCUCGCCUCUGUGCUCUCUUUCAAGCUGAUUCAUGUUCUCAUUAACUUUCCCCUGGCCUGCAGCUAUCCGUUUCAAGGAAGCCACCUUCCAUCCUCAGAUCCUCUUCCCUUUCAGCUGUGCCCUCAUGUGACUUCCUUCCCCUUCCUGGCGGUCGCAAGGCAGCCUUGCAAGUCCUUUUCAUCUUGCGCAGUCCGCUGGAGCGACUCCUGCAGACGUUUGACUCCUAACAUCGGGCACCGCUCUGCCUUCCCCUCAGGACCCUUCUCAGGGUUGUGCUGUUUUCGGCCUGCGUCUCGGCGGCUCCAAGGUGCCAGGGGAUCUUCCCUUUCCUGCCGCCCUGUCCCCAGCCUGCUGCCCGGGCCCUGCUGUCCAGCCAGGUGUGUGUCCUGCUCCCAUGCCCAGUGCAGCCCCGGAUGCGUGAGGACGGAGGGCCCAGGAGGCCAUUGCUGGGGAGACUGUCUUCCUGGUCGGUUGGCUCCUUCUUUUCAUAAGCCAUUUGUCACUGUUACUCAUUUUGUCAGGCGUCGGGGUGGGAAGACUCUGCUCUCCCUCCCCUCCGCCCUCUGCAGUCUGAACUCCUGUCCCCGGCAGGCUCUUAUAAAUGCAAAUCUGCAGGUCCUGCCCACCCUGAGGCCCAGAGAGACUGAUUCUGUGGGUCUGGGUGGGUCCUCCCUCCCCAGUCAAUGUGAUGUGGGCUUACAGGCCUGGGGUUGAGGACUACUGAGUCAUCUAUCAGGAUGAUUUGCAUUUUUGUCAAAUUAAAGGAAUGCAGCUCUGAUUAUGCAAAACCACAUGGCUCUGAAUGUUUCACCAUUUUGGAAUGUCCGAGUGGGUGGGCAAAUUGGAUCAUUCAUUCUAUUGGUGACACUCCGAGGCCCAGAGAGGGGAAGUGACUUGCCCAAGGUCUCACAGCAAAUCAGCAACAGACAGAUUUGAAGAGCUGGAAAUGGCAACCCCAGAUCUGGGGCCCGAGGAUCAGGGUAGCCUACCUCUGAGGGCAGGGAGGCCUUUGUCCGCGGCAUGAGGAGCCUCCUUCCCCUCUCUGGGACUCACAGAGAGGAAAUGGUUGUGGCCGUGCCCCUGGGGAACUUUGGUGGUGAGCUUCCCUGGGGGAAGUGGCCAGGACAGGAGGUACUCCACCAAUCCGAGUCCUCCAGGAGGAGCGACCCCACAUCUCCUCAUGCCCGCCCCCUCCAUCCCGCCACUGCCCAGGACCCCGCUCUCCACACAAGCGAGGGCCUGUGAUGACCCAGGCCCGGGGUCGGGCAGGGGGGCGCCGAGCAUCCUUGAGAUGAGAGGAAGCGGCAUCAGAAAAGGCGGGAAUCCGGGAUUAGUGCUGGAGUUGGGGGGUCAGCCCUUUCCAGGAGGGUCCCCUGUCUGCCCCAGGAAGAGGCUGCCAGAGCAGUUUCGGCCACGACUGGGCAGCGGGCUUGACCCCCCAACCGGAGGACUGGGACUCUCAGGGCAGCCCGAGGAGAACCCUGGGCCCACCCUCGCUCGGUCCGGCCGUCAGGUCUCAGUGUCUGGGGCAGCCUCCCCACGGCUGCAGUGGGGCCGAAUCCUUGGGAAGACAAGGCUGUUCAGGUUCCCGGUCCCUGGGCUGUGGAGCUGGAACAGACGCGACCUGAGCGUCCUGGAAACGUCCCCAGAGCCGCUGUGCGAGGAGGUGGGAAAGGCCUGUCACUCACCACCGAGCUAUGACUUAACCUCUCCCUGGGACCUCUCUGAUCUUUCCCUGUACAGUGCCCCCUCCCCGCCCCCACCCACCCUGGAGUCCCUUCCACUGCCCAGUCCCAGCCCUCUGCGCCCCUUACCCGAAGAGGGGGCCAGCUAGCGGCCCCCUGCGCGUCCUGGGGAGUGGGGGGCUGCUGCCCACGGCUACAGCCUGGGAGGCUCCCGCAGCCGGGACGAUCAAGGCCCAGAAGCCCCAGGACCACCGAGUGGCCGCCCAGGCCCUGCCGCUGCCCGAGACCUUGAGCGCCGCACCCACGUUCAGGGCUCCUCGGCUCUUCAGCAACCCAGGGGGAGGCAGACCAGGCGCCCCGCCGUCCCCAGACCCACUGUCCAGAUGGGGAAGGAGGCUGGGAUGCGAAGGGCCCUGCGCUGUCCCCGUGCCCCACCAGCGCUGCGUUUGCUGGGUCUGCGAGGGGCGGUCCGCUCACGGCUUCACUGGCCGGUCUCCCUGAAAGUUUGCAGGCAGCUUGUUAUCACGGCUAAUUGUCGGCACACAUUUUGCCCAGGGCUGUAACUCGCCGAUUUGCUCUCACCGUUUGAUCUGUUGAGUCUUCUCCUCCCUUUGGAGAAGGCCUGGCUGUCAUGGAAGGGGAUGCAGAGCUGAGCUGCUCCCUUCUUUGUCCCAAGGUCUUGGUUUCCGGGAGGCCCUGUGUGCUCCUGGGAGCAGCCUGGGAGCCACCGUGCCGUCCAGGGAGACUGCUGAGACCUUCUUCAGCCCCUGACUGAUCCAGGGUCCCUUAACCUUUCAGGGAUGCUGGCCCCUCUCAGAGUCUGAUGAACCUCGUGGCCUCUUUCCUGGAAAUCUGCACAGAUACACAAAAACAG
rnacentral:lncRNA from 1 species